GAGCGCCUCGAGCGCCUCACCUCAAGCAUUGGCAAGAUGGGCGUCGCCAUCGCGGUGCUCGUCUUCACCGUGCUCACUGCGCGCCACUUCACCGGCAGCACCAAGGACGAGCAAGGCAAGCCGCUGUUCAACAAGGGCCACGUCACCUUCGACUCCGUGUUCAGCUUCCUCGUCGUCAUUUUCCAGCAGGCCGUCACCAUCAUCGUCGUCGCCAUCCCCGAGGGCCUCCCGCUCGCCAUGAUGCUGACGCUCGCCUUCUCCAUGAAGAGGAUGGUGAAGGAGAACGCGCGGGUGCGCCGCCUGUCGGCGUGCGAGACAAUGGGGUCAGUCACAGCCAUCUGCACCGACAAGACCGGAACGCUGACGCUCAACCAGAUGAAGGUGAUCGAGUUUUGGGUCGGCACCGACAAGCCCAGAGGUGCCACGGCGAUCGCCGGGAGCGUUGUUACCUUGCUUUGCCAGGGAGCUGCGCUCAACACCAUGGGAAGCGUUUACAAGCCGGACAACGUGUCGCCGCCGGAGAUAACAGGCAGCCCGACGGAGAAGGCGCUGCUGUCGUGGGCCGUAGCGGACCUCGGCAUGGACGCCGACGCGUUGAAGAGGAGCUGCAAGGUGCUGCACGUCGAGGUCUUCAACUUGGACAAGAAGCGCAGCGGCAUGAUGAUCAAGGACAACGCUACCGGCGCGGUGGUCGCACACUGGAAAGGCGCCGCGGAGAUGGUGCUGGCGAACUGCUCGAUGUACGUGGACACGGACGGGGCGCGCCAACUCAGGGUGGAGCAGAGGAGAAACCUCGAGAAGGUGAUCAACGACAUGGCCUCCAGCCUCCGGUGCAUCGCCUUUGCCUACAAGCAACUCAACGGCACUGAGCAAUCAAAGAUCGACGACGACGGUCUGACAUUGCUGGGCUUCGUCGGGUUGAAAGACCCGUGCUGACCAGAGGUCAAGGCCGCCAUUGAAGCUUGCACCAAGGCAGGCGUCGCCGUCAAGAUGGUCACCGGCCAAAACAUCCUCACGGCCCGCGCGAUCGCCAAGGAAUGCGGCAUCAUAUCCAGCCAUGACCCCAACGGUAUCGUCAUCGAGGGGCACGAGUUCCGCGCCAUGUCGCCGGAGCAGCAGCUAGAGAUCGUGGACAGGAUCCGCGUCAUGGCGCGGUCCCUGCCGUUGGACAAGCUGGCGCUGGUGCAGCGGCUGAAGCAGAAGGGGCACGUGGUGGCCGUGACCGGUGAUGGCACGAACGACGCGCCGACGCGCAAGGAGGCGGACGUGGGGCUGUCCAUGGGCGUGCAGGGCACAAAGGUGGCCAAGGAGAGCUCGGACAUCAUCAUCCUCAACGACAACUUCGACAAGGUGGUGACGGCCACGCUGUGGGGGCGUUGCGUCUACAACAACAUGCAAAAGUUCAUCCAGUUCCAGCUCACCGUCAACGUGGCGGCGCUCGUCAUCAACUUCGUGUCCGUGAUCACCACGGGCAAGAUGCCGCUCACCACCGUGAAGCUCCUCUGGGUGAACCUGAUCAUGGACACCAUGGGCGCUCUCGCGUUCACCACGAACACGCCCACCAAGGCGCUCAUGGAUCGGCCGCACGGCGCCGCUCAUCAGCAACGCCAUGUGGCGCAACCUCGCCGCGCAGGCGGCGUUCCAGAUCGCCUUGCUGCUGGCGCUCCAGUACCGGGGCCGGGACGUCUUCGGCACCGACGAGAAGGGUAA
rnacentral:rRNA from 1 species